rnacentral:rRNA from 1 species
UACGUAGGGUGCAAGCGUUAAUCGGAAUCACUGGGCGUAAAGCGUGCGCAGGCGGUUGUGUAAGACAGAUGUGAAAUCCCCGGGCUCAACCUGGGAACUGCAUUUGUGACUGCACGGCUGGAGUGCGGCAGAGGGGGAUGGAAUUCCGCGUGUAGCAGUGAAAUGCGUAGAUAUGCGGAGGAACACCGAUGGCGAAGGCAAUCCCCUGGGCCUGCACUGACGCUCAUGCACGAAAGCGUGGGGAGCAAACAGG